rnacentral:rRNA from 1 species
CCUACGGGUGGCAGCAGUGAGGAAUAUUGGUCAAUGGACGCAAGUCUGAACCAGCCAAGUAGCGUGCAGGAUGACGGCCCUCCGGGUUGUAAACUUCUUUUAUAUGGGAAUAAAAUGUUCCACGUGUGGGAUUUUGUAUGUACCAUAUGAAUAAGGAUCGGCUAACUCCGUGCCAGCAGCCGCGGUAAUACGGAGGAUCCGAGCGUUAUCCGGAUUUAUUGGGUUUAAAGGGAGCGUAGGUGGAUUGUUAAGUCAGUUGUGAAAGUUUGCGGCUCAACCGUAAAAUUGCAGUUGAAACUGGUCGUCUUGAGUACAGUAGAGGUGGGCAGAAUUCGUGGUGUAGCGGUGAAAUGCUUAGAUAUCACGAAGAACUCCGAUUGCGAAGGCAGUUCACUGGACUGCAACUGACACUGAGGCUCGAAAGUGUGGGUAUCAAACAGGAUUAGAUACCCGGGUAGUC